UAGAGUUUGAUCAUGGCUCAGAUUGAACGCUGGUGGCAGGCCUAACACAUGCAAGUCGAGCGGCAGCGGAAAGUAGCUUGCUACUUUGCCGGCGAGCGGCGGACGGGUGAGUAAUGUCUGGGAAACUGCCUGAUGGAGGGGGAUAACUACUGGAAACGGUAGCUAAUACCGCAUGAUGUCGCAAGACCAAAGUGGGGGACCUUCGGGCCUCACGCCAUCGGAUGUGCCCAGAUGGGAUUAGCUAGUAGGUGAGGUAAUGGCUCACCUAGGCGACGAUCCCUAGCUGGUCUGAGAGGAUGACCAGCCACACUGGAACUGAGACACGGUCCAGACUCCUACGGGAGGCAGCAGUGGGGAAUAUUGCACAAUGGGCGCAAGCCUGAUGCAGCCAUGCCGCGUGUGUGAAGAAGGCCUUAGGGUUGUAAAGCACUUUCAGCGAGGAGGAAGGCGUUGUAGUUAAUAGCUGCAACGAUUGACGUUACUCGCAGAAGAAGCACCGGCUAACUCCGUGCCAGCAGCCGCGGUAAUACGGAGGGUGCAAGCGUUAAUCGGAAUUACUGGGCGUAAAGCGCACGCAGGCGGUUUGUUAAGUCAGAUGUGAAAUCCCCGAGCUUAACUUGGGAACUGCAUUUGAAACUGGCAAGCUAGAGUCUUGUAGAGGGGGGUAGAAUUCCAGGUGUAGCGGUGAAAUGCGUAGAGAUCUGGAGGAAUACCGGUGGCGAAGGCGGCCCCCUGGACAAAGACUGACGCUCAG
rnacentral:rRNA from 1 species